UUGCUUUAGCUGCACAUACAUGAAAUUUGAAACGAUACAAAGAUUUACAUGGCUCCUGCUGAAGGAUGACAUGCAAAAUUGUGAAUUGUUCCAUAUUUUA
rnacentral:snRNA from 1 species